GACAGAGGUGCCGAGCGUUAGGCGGAAUCACUGGGCUUAAAGCGUGUGUAGGCGGAUGCCUAAGUACCUUGUGAAAUCCCAUGGCUCAACCAUGGAACUGCUUGGUAUACUGGGUGUCUUGAGCUAUCUAGGGGUAACUGGAACAAACGGUGGAGCGGUGAAAUGCGUAGAGACCCGGAGGAACACCAGUGGCGAAGGCGGCGUCCUGGCCUGCGACUGACGCUGUGGCGCGAAAGCUAGGGGAGCGAACGGG
rnacentral:rRNA from 1 species